rnacentral:rRNA from 1 species
ACUGAACGCUGGCGGCAGGCCUAAUACAUGCAAGUCGGGCGGAGCGGCGGACGGGUGAGUAACGUAUGGGGAUCUGCCUGAUGGAGGGGGAUAACUACUGGAAACGGUAGCUAAUACCGAAUACUAUAAACUGAGCUAAGGUCGGAGUAGCUAGUUGGUGGGUUAAAGGCCUACCAAGGCGACGAUCCGUCACUGGUCUGAGAGGAUGAUCAGUCACACUGGAACGGAGACACGGUCCAGACGCCUACGGGAGGCAGCAGUGGGGAAUAUUGGACAAUGGGCGAAAGCCUGAUCCAGCCAUGCCGCGUGUGUGAAGAAGGUCUUCGGAUUGUAAAGCACUUUAAGUUGGGAGGCGUUACCAACAGAAUAAGCACCGGCUAACUUCGUGCCAGCAGCCGCGGUAAUUC